AAUAAUAAUAAUAAUAAUAAUAAUAAUAAUAAUAAGAAUAUGCUUUUUCAUUUUCGGAUAGAUUUGCAUCACUUUUCGGAUAGAUUUGCAUCGUUCGGAUAGACUUGCAUCGGUACCGGAUAGAUUUGCAUCGCUAUCGGAUAGAUUUGCAUCGCUAUCGGAUAGAUUUGCAUCGCUAUCGGAUAGAUUUGCAUCAUUUCCGGCUCCCGUAGAGUUUUUUACAUUUCUAAAAUGGCACCUUGAGGCGGACGACGAGCAAGAGCAGCUAUAUAAACUGCUACUGCUUAUUUAUUUUGGACUGUUAUCCUGAUUUAUAUAUUUCGUUGAACACAUGACAAUUCGGCUAAUGGCUUAUCAUUGUAGUAAAGUGUGACGUAGACAGGCGUAGUGGACCCUCCAAAUGCUUUAACCGUUCAUUUGAAAAUUGGUAGAACCGUUGGAAAUUGUUAAAAUAUGUCGCCAUUGUUAUGUCAGCGUGCAACAAGAUUUAUUAUACUUGGAAAAAUGGUGUCUAAUACUAUGACAUUGAAAACUGUUUUCAAUAAACGAAGAAAGUUUCCAAAUUGUUACAUAUUUUUUCCAUAAAAACCUUCUUGCUUGUCAACUACCAUGUCAGACCAACAAUGAGUACGAACACUCAUUUACAAUCUUGUUUUUAUGUAGCUACUUGUUUUAUAGGACGACAGCUUUAUGUAAAUUGACAGGUAGGCCUAAUUGCAACGCACGACAUGGUCUACAGACGGUAUCCUACAUUGGAGCAAUUUUGUGGGAUGUGCUUCCGAUAUUAAGGAAGCUAAAAGUCUGAAGUCAUUUUCUUCACAGCCUAAAGUUUUUUAUUUUUAUUAGAUUUAUUUAUUUUUAUAUCGUCAAUUUAGCCAAGUGUAGUCGUACUCUUCUAUCAAAUCCUAUACAGGACUUCAUACGAGAGGUGACAUUUCCAUUUGUAUAUAUCCUUUUAAUUGACGUUAAAUAAAUUUAUGUCUGUUAA